rnacentral:lncRNA from 1 species
UUGUUUGUGGAGACAUGACUGGUUUCAAGGAAUAAUGGAAACCUCUUGGGUAGCUUACACUCAGGCAACACCUUUCGCUGAGCUAUCUCCAGGUCCUGUCCAGGUUGCAAGUGUGGACUGUGUGUUAUCUGACAGUGCAGACUCCAAGUCUGUUGCCAGGGUAACCAGACGACGAAAGCUGUGGGGUGGAAUAAAAUGUUUUAUUUAUCUUGUUUUCUGUUAAAGCUAGCAGAACAGCCCCAAGGGGUGUGCUGGGUCACCAAUGGUGACUAUUUAAGGAUGAAUGGAUGGCUGGAUAUAUAAAGUCAUUGUUAGCCCACAGGAAAACCACAGCUAAGAUGUCAUUCUUAGGCAGGUGUGGCCACUCAAACCAGUAAUCCCCGGACUCUUACGGAGCUGAAGCAGAAAGAUCAUAAUUUCAAGCCUAGCCUGGGUUAUGGAAUGAAAGCCUUAAAAACAAUAAUAAAAUCCACAAAAUAAUUCCCUUCCCCAAACUCUCCAUCACAGAUGAGACUACUACAGCUCCCCUCAAAGGAACACGCAAGAGAGCAAAACUAGCCGCAAGUGCGAGAAAUUGCUGUUAUUAAGUAGUGCAUGAUUAUUCGAGUACAAUGAAGAGACGUGACAUCAUUCCUCACAAAGCGUCUACUCUACUCUUAAAAAAAUAAAACAGAAAGCCAGGCUGGAGACUUACACCUAUCAUCUCAGCAUUGCAAUUAUAUUUUGAGUGCUGGGCCUUCCUGGACUUCAGCAUGAGAUCCCGUUUCAAAAAUUUCAAAUACAAGGGUUGGAGAGACAGCUUAGCAGUUAAGAGCAGAGCACAGGCUGCUCUUGAAGAGGACCUGAGUUCAAGUCCCAGCAUCCAGUGGCUCACAAAGACCUAUAACUCGGGGCUGGCGAGAUGGCUCAGUGGUUAAGAGCACUGACUGCUCUUCCGAAGGUCCCAAGUUCAAAUCCCAGCAACCACAUGGUGGCUCACAACCAUCCAUAACGAAAUCUGAUGCCCUCUUCUGGAGUAUCUGAGGACAGCUACAGUGUACUUAAACCUAUCAUCUUAAAAGACCUAUAACUCCAGCCCCCCAGAGGGGCCACACCCUCUCCUGGCCUUCAGCCACGCCCUCUCCUGGCCUUCAGAAUAUUGUGCUCACAUUCACAUACCCACACAGAGAUACCCGCACAUAAUUAAAACACAAACAUUUCUUAAAAUAUAAAUACAUAGUGCGCAUAUAUAAUUAAGAAUAAAACAUUUACAUACUUAGCAGAGGAAAUUAAAAAUUGGUUAAAUUAAAUUACAUCAGCAUACCCCAUUGCUGCCACCAAUGAACUCAGAGCUACAGGCACCUAUGGCCAUCUACCAAACUCUCACUUUUCUAAUAUAUAUAUCGUUUUGUGUUUUAUUGGGACACUUACAUUUAUUAUAUAGUAGUCAUCGAAUCUGCUAUAAAAUAUCCAUCAACAGGUUUGGUGGUAGAAUUAUUCUUCUUUCUUUUUUUCCUUUAUAUUCCUCUGCAAACUUUCUUUAACAAACACAGAAGAUUCUUUC